AUUUCCAACUGGAGGAACAGCAACUGCAAAGCUCUGUGGCGAGAAUAUCCCUGGCAAAUCCACAGGACAGAAAGUGCAGCCAUCGGUACAUGAGGAAUACAUGGAAGGAAGUGGCAGCAUUUGGCACCUGGAGAUAUAGUAUUCUUAGAGAAGUUGGAUCUGGAGAUCAAAAUUAUGAAGUUAGCAGCUGAGAUGUGUUAACUAAAGCCAUGGGAGUGGAUUGAAGAUGAUGCUGCAAAAUU
rnacentral:lncRNA from 1 species